UACAGAGGGUGCAAGCGUUGUUCGGAAUUAUUGGGCGUAAAGCGCGUGUAGGCGGCUUUGCAAGUCGGGUGUGAAAUCCCUCAGCUCAACUGAGGAAGUGCGCCCGAAACUGCAGAGCUUGAGUACCGGAGAGGGGUCUCGGGAAUUCCCCAAGUACGAGGUGAAAUUCGUAGAUAUGGGGGAGGAACGACCGGUGGCGAAGGCGGGGACCUGGACGGAUACUGACGGCUGAGACGCGAAAGCGUGGGUAGCAAACAGG
rnacentral:rRNA from 1 species